CCGCUCUGCACCUUCGUCGGAGCGUUUGCUCACCGUGCUCCGCUGCAACGCAAGGUUGUCACACACGCGCACCGCGCGCCUUGCCCUCCAGCUCUUCGGUUGUGGCUCUCUUUGGUCCCGCUCGAGGGUUCAGCGGCACAGCUCGUCGUUUCAGCGGCACUUUCCACUACCGAAAGGUGCGCCUCACGCCCGAGGACGCGCUCGAUCCCCUUACGAAGCCAACCAACAUCGACAAGGCAGCCUUGCACGUCGUCUCAGUGCCCAUCGGAAACUUAAAGGACUUCUCCUUGCGGGCCCUCGAUGUGCUGCGCGGCGUCGACUACAUCAUCACCACCGAUCGCCCUGCUACCAAGACUCUCCUGGAUCUCGUUAACAUCCCCAACCAAGGUCGUCUCAUUCACUAUAGCCGCGGAAAUCGCAGCACCUCGCGCGAAAAGCUGGUGGAGUUGCUGAAGGGCGGGCGCAGCAUGGCACUGGUCACUACGAGUGGCACCCCGUGCAUUGGUGACGUCGGCGGGGAGCUGGUGCAAGAGCUACAGAAGAGCGGUAUUCGCGUCACAGCCGUGCCGGGCGCAUCAGCCCUGAUGAGCGCGCUGGCGAUAUCUGGUUUGACGACUUCUGCUUACGAAUCGGCGAAGAACCACAAGAGAGGCGCUGACGCAGCCGCCGACGGCGACGCCGGCCUUUCCCCUCAGACCUUUGAGGACGGCUCUUUCUUUUUUGGAAACGUGCUACCCAAGUCUCACGGGGCGCGACUCCGGAUUCUCCGCACUAUCGUUGCCCCUGCCACAUUCCCGUGCGUCUUCUACGAAGUUCCGCGACGGCUGGUGAUGGUGCUGCAGGACAUCGCAUCUGUGCUGCCGCAUCGGUUCGUCUACGUCACGCAUGAGCUGACGAAGCUGAACGAAUCAUUGCACGCUGACACAGCGGAACGACUCGUUGGCUUCUACCUCCGUCAAGAGGCACAGAUGCUGGUGAAGAAGGGGCAACUUGUGCUGGUGAUUGCCGGUGCGGGGCCGAAAGAGACGGCGGCGUGGCUGGAGAAGGAGGCGGCGAAGCGGCGGCGUUUGCGCCGCACAGUCAGCGAUCUUAUGAAGGAUGCUCCGCCUGCGGCAUCGUCGCACCUGGAAUCGGCGCCGGGCACCAGAGGGACAAAUGCAGCGGCGUCAUCGUCAACAGAGUCGAGUGUGACAAUAGCCAAGGAGGAGCGGCGGCAGUGUAGGAAGCAGCGAGCUGAGCUGCGGCGCUUGCGGCAGAGGAAGAAGCGCGAGCGCCUUAUUCGGGCGAUCGAAUCUGAGCAGGAGAGACUGCGAGUCAUCCUUUCCAUUAAUCGAAACGACGCUAGCCGGCUAGUGUGAGAGCUGUGGAGGCGUGACCGAGUGAUGAAAGACAAAGCAGUUGCCAAGUGUGCCGUCGCUCUCGCACUCACCUACGGCGGUUGGGCUGCGAGGGAGUAGCGGGCGGGUCGUGGCCUGCAGCGUGCGCCUGCGCAGUGGAGACGACCUCACCAAACACCGUCCCAGAAUGUCAAAACACACGCAACUCGUUGACGUUGUCUACGCCUCCACUUUCUUUCGAUUGCGUGAUGAUGCUUUUCGUUAUCUGUUUAAACCACCACAACAGCUGAUCAGCCGCCUGUCGCUCUGCGGGCCUUCACAGGGAUCAAAGACGAUCAACCCUACGCCUACACAGAUCGCUAAAGAGAAAACAAAGAAAAACGGCACUGCGUAUAAAAAGCUUCUCCAGUCGUGGCUGCGUAACAUCUGCACCCCGAGAAAAGGUGGUGAACACGAGGGGUUGCCCGUAGAGAGAGGGAGAGCUGUAACUGAGGCUAUCUUGCUCCCUCCUAGCCUUUUCCCUUUACUGGAUUCUCCCGGCGCUGAGGUCGCCCUGCGGGGCCCGAAUUGUCUCGUUUUUCUCUUCGUU
rnacentral:misc_RNA from 1 species